UCAGACCUGCCCCUCCCUCCAACCAAGACCGUGUCAAGUGGAAACAUGUCUCUGAGACGCGGCACAGACAAUACCUCUGGCAUUAAGGACCAUCACACGGAGCCGAUUCCUUAAACAACUGUACAGCAUCACAGGGAAGGGACAGAGGCCAGGAAAAAACUACUACACUUGUCUAAUUAUUUCAGCGCAGCCCCAAUGCAACGUUACCUUGACUACUUUGACCCUUGGCGUAAAUGCAGAUUUGCAGUUCCCUAACGUAGCUGUAGCCUGCAGGCCCUGAAUUAUGAAAAGAGCCUUCAGUUUCGUCACAAUGCAGAGUUUGAAGCACUUCCUGACCCUUCCCCUAGUGGGCAGAAGUAUCUACUUUGCAGAAGAACUAAUGUUGUGACUGGAAGGCUGGAAGGAAAGGCUGGGCUCUGCAGUGCAGCAGGGAGGGAGACAUAGAGUGACUGAAGUCCAAGGUCCAGUGGUGAAAUGAAAAGACCGUCAGCAGAUAUUUGACCCAAGAAGGAGGCAUCUGGAUGGAAGUACUGUGAGUUCUUAUGAGGGAACCCUGAAUACCAGGAUGGUACUUGAUUAUCACCGGCUACAGAUUCUCAACAGCCCUAGUUUUCCGGGUGUGAUCUUUGAUGCAAACCAGCAUCAUCAACCAGCAUCUCAUUGUCAUCAAGAAUAAAAGACUCUUGGGGUGCCUGGGUGGCUCAGUCAGAUAGGUCUAAAUAUAACAACAUUCUGGGAAAUUUUGCCUCAGCCCUGUCCUCUGAGAUCAUUAGCGAGAAGUGUGUUCACCAUGAUUCCAGUUCAGCAAAGAAGGCUCAUCAGAAGAAGGAAUCACACCCCCCAGGUGAGACUCCAUCUCAGAGAGAAGACACCCAAGGUUUGGAGGGCAGCAUAUCCAGUCCGCUCCACGUUACCCUUUUCUUUAAGAUGACGAAACAGACGCAUGGACGAGUUAUAUAACGUGGUCCAAAUUACACAAGCAAAAGUGGUGUACCCAAUUCGUUGGAUCCUUGAGCCUGGGUUCUUAGAUCUUAUACCAUCAGGCCAUCAGCUGAUGGCCAUCAGCUUCGCAUCACAGCCACCAGCUUCAUGACCCAGCUCCUCUCCAAACUCCAGAUUUCUCAUCUGUUAGGUGAUUCUCGCUCAUGCCUUUCUGAGAAAACGUCAUGAAUAUUUCAUCAAACGUGAGAGAGAAGAAUGCCAUCACUGUGACAGAAGGACACGAUAAGUGAAAUACAGAACUUCUUUUGGCAACAGUGCAUUCUUCAAUGUUCACCUUUAAGUUCACCAGGAAUUUUCUGUUAAUUUGUACUACUUGAAAGCAAGAGACAUACGUGGUGAGCCUUAAUCAUUGCUGAUAAUCAGCAUUAGCAGUACACCUUUAUCAAGAAAAAUCACGUAAGUGAAAUCCAGUAGCUUACUGCCAUCAACCAGCAAAGUACGUAAAAAGUGCCCAGACAUCACCUUCUUAACCUCUACAAAUCUAUUUCUUCUGAUUAAACUUACUUUUCUGCAA